GUGGGGAAUAUUGCACAAUGGGCGCAAGCCUGAUGCAGCAACGCCGCGUGAGGGACGACGGCCUUCGGGUUGUAAACCUCUUUUAGUAGGGAAGAAGCGAAAGUGACGGUACCUGCAGAAAAAGCACCGGCUAACUACGUGCCAGCAGCCGCGGUAAUACGUAGGGUGCAAGCGUUAUCCGGAAUUAUUGGGCGUAAAGAGCUCGUAGGCGGUCUGUCGCGUCUGCUGUGAAAACUGGAGGCUCAACCUCCAGCCUGCAGUGGGUACGGGCAGACUAGAGUGCGGUAGGGGAGAUUGGAAUUCCUGGUGUAGCGGUGGAAUGCGCAGAUAUCAGGAGGAACACCGAUGGCGAAGGCAGAUCUCUGGGCCGUAACUGACGCUGAGGAGCGAAAGCGUGGGGAGCGAACAGGAUUAGAUACCCUUGUAGUCC
rnacentral:rRNA from 1 species